rnacentral:rRNA from 1 species
CAGUCGAGCGACAGAUAAGGAGCUUGCUCCUUUGACGUUAGCGGCGGACGGGUGAGUAACACGUGGGUAACCUACCUAUAAGACUGGGAUAACUUCGGGAAACCGGAGCUAAUACCGGAUAACAUUUGGAACCGCAUGGUUCUAAAGUGAAAGAUGGUUUUGCUAUCACUUAUAGAUGGACCCGCGCCGUAUUAGCUAGUUGGUAAGGUAACGGCUUACCAAGGCGACGAUACGUAGCCGACCUGAGAGGGUGAUCGGCCACACUGGAACUGAGACACGGUCCAGACUCCUACGGGAGGCAGCAGUAGGGAAUCUUCCGCAAUGGGCGAAAGCCUGACGGAGCAACGCCGCGUGAGUGAUGAAGGGUUUCGGCUCGUAAAACUCUGUUAUUAGGGAAGAACAAAUGUGUAAGUAACUGUGCACGUCUUGACGGUACCUAAUCAGAAAGCCACGGCUAACUACGUGCCAGCAGCCGCGGUAAUACGUAGGUGGCAAGCGUUAUCCGGAAUUAUUGGGCGUAAAGCGCGCGUAGGCGGUUUCUUAAGUCUGAUGUGAAAGCCCACGGCUCAACCGUGGAGGGUCAUUGGAAACUGGGAAACUUGAGUGCAGAAGAGGAAAGUGGAAUU